AGAGUUUGAUCCUGGCUCAGGACGAACGCUGGCGGCGUGCUUAACACAUGCAAGUCGAACGGAAAGGCCCUUCGGGGUACUCGAGUGGCGAACGGAUGAGUAACACGUGGGUGAUCUGCCCUGCACUUUGGGAUAAGCCUGGGAAACUGGGUCUAAUACCGAAUAUGACCAUGCGCCUCCUGGUGUGUGGUGGAAAGCUUUUGCGGUGUGGGAUGGGCCCGCGGCCUAUCAGCUUGUUGGUGGGGUAAUGGCCUACCAAGGCGACGACGGGUAGCCGGCCUGAGAGGGUGACCGGCCACACUGGGACUGAGAUACGGCCCAGACUCCUACGGGAGGCAGCAGUGGGGAAUAUUGCACAAUGGGCGCAAGCCUGAUGCAGCGACGCCGCGUGAGGGAUGACGGCCUUCGGGUUGUAAACCUCUUUCAGCACAGACGAAGCGCAAGUGACGGUAUGUGCAGAAGAAGGACCGGCCAACUACGUGCCAGCAGCCGCGGUAAUACGUAGGGUCCGAGCGUUGUCCGGAAUUACUGGGCGUAAAGAGCUCGUAGGUGGUUUGUCGCGUUGUUCGUGAAAACUCACAGCUUAACUGUGGGCGUGCGGGCGAUACGGGCAGACUUGAGUACUGCAGGGGAGACUGGAAUUCCUGGUGUAGCGGUGGAAUGCGCAGAUAUCAGGAGGAACACCGGUGGCGAAGGCGGGUCUCUGGGCAGUAACUGACGCUGAGGAGCGAAAGCGUGGGGAGCGAACAGGAUUAGAUACCCUGGUAGUCC
rnacentral:rRNA from 1 species